rnacentral:rRNA from 1 species
AGUGAACGCUGGCGGCGUGCUUAACACAUGCAAGUCGAACGAGAACGGAUUAUAGCUUGCUAUAAUUGUCAGCUAAGUGGCGCACGGGUGAGUAAUGUAUAGGUAAUAUGCCUCUUACUAAGGGAUAACAAAUGGAAACGUUUGCUAAUACCUUAUACUCCUUAUUAACAGAAGUUAAUAAGGGAAAGAUUUAUUGGUAAGAGAUUAGCCUGUAUUGUAUCAGUUAGUUGGUGGGGUAAUGGCUUACCAAGGCUAUGACACAUAACUGGUUUGAGAGGAUGAUCAGUCACACUGGAACUGAGACACGGUCCGGACUCCUACGGGAGGCAGCAGUGGGGAAUAUUGCACAAUGGACGAAAGUCUGAUGCAGCAACGCCGCGUGGAGGAUGACACAUUUCGGUGCGUAAACUCCUUUUAUAUGAGAAGAUAAUGACGGUAUUAUAUGAAUAAGCACCGGCUAACUCCGUGCCAGCAGCCGCGGUAAAAC